AGGACGAACGCUGGCGGCGUGCUUAACACAUGCAAGUCGAGCGGUAAGGCCUUUCGGGGUACACGAGCGGCGAACGGGUGAGUAACACGUGGGUGAUCUGCCCUGCACUUCGGGAUAAGCCUGGGAAACUGGGUCUAAUACCGGAUAUGACCUCCUAUCGCAUGGUGGGUGGUGGAAAGAUUUAUCGGUGCAGGAUGGGCCCGCGGCCUAUCAGCUUGUUGGUGGGGUAAUGGCCUACCAAGGCGACGACGGGUAGCCGACCUGAGAGGGUGACCGGCCACACUGGGACUGAGACACGGCCCAGACUCCUACGGGAGGCAGCAGUGGGGAAUAUGCACAAUGGGCGAAAGCCUGAUGCAGCGACGCCGCGUGAGGAUGACGGCCUUCGGGUUGUAAACCUCUUUCAGCAGGCGAAGCGCAAGUGACGGUACCUGCAGAAGAAGCACCGCUAACUACGUGCCAGCAGCCGC
rnacentral:rRNA from 1 species